UCCCUUAGUAAUGGCGAACGAACAGGGACCAGCUUGGGUUGGAAACCGGGGCUUCUGCCUUGGAUUGUGGCCUUUAGACAUACUACCAACGGCGGCGCGAGCGUAAGCCUCUUGGAACAGAGCGUCUACGUGAGUGAGAAUCCUGUGUUUCGCUUGAUGCCCGCCGUGCACGGUACUUGCUCUCAGAGUCACGCUCCUCGGAAUUGGAGCGUAAAUUUGGGUGGUAAAUUUCAUCUAAAGCUAAAUACAGGCUCGAGACCGAUAGCAAACAAGUACCAUGAGGGAAAGAUGAAAAGGACUUUGAAAAGAGAGUUAAAAGUGCUUGAAAUCGCUGAACUGGAAACGAAUGGAACUAGUGCUCUGGUUGAGAUUGCUGCAAGUGGCUGCGACAUCAGGACUCUGGAAUGCAAGUCCUUUGUCUGGUUUGAAGUAGUUGCUUGCAAUGUGUCUCAGCUUGAACAUCAACUUCUAUGCAUACGUGAGGAUGGCCCUUGGCUCAUGCUGUAUUGCUGUGGCGAUACUCUUGUGCUUCUGGGGAUUCAGGUGUGUGUGGACUGUUGAUCAAUUAGUUCCAUUCGACCCGUCUUGAAACACGGACCAAGGAGUCUAGCACUUGUGCAAGUUCUCAGGUGUCAAACCUCUGUGCGCAAUGAAGGUGACUGCUGGGAUUUUUUGCACCAGCAACCGACCAAUCAAUUGGGAGAAGUUUGAGUAAGAGCAUGUGUGUUA
rnacentral:rRNA from 1 species